rnacentral:rRNA from 1 species
UACGGAGGGUGCAAGCGUUCUCCGGAUUCACUGGGUUUAAAUGGUGCUUAGGUUGAGUGGUAAGUCAGUGGUGAAAUCUCCAAGCUUAACUUGGAAACUGCCGUUGAUACUAUCAUUCUUGAAUAUCGUGGAGGUAAGCGGAAUAUGUCAUGUAGCGGUGAAAUGCUUAGAUAUGACAUAGAACACCGAUUGCGAAGGCAGCUUGCUACACGAUCAUUGACACUGAGGCACGAAAGCGUGGGGAUCAAACAGG